rnacentral:rRNA from 16 species
GGAUGCGAUCAUACCAGCACUAAAGCACCGGAUCCCAUMMAAACUUCGAAGUUAAGCGUGCUUGGGCGAGAGUAGUACUAGGAUGGGUGACCUCCUSGGAAGUCCUCGUGUUGCAUUCC